rnacentral:misc_RNA from 1 species
AAAAUGCGAUAAGUAAUGUGAAUUGCAGAAUUCAGUGAAUCGUCGAAUCUUUGAACGCACAUUGCGCCCGCCAGUAUUCUGGCGGGCAUGCCUGUUCGAGCGUCAUUUCAACCCUCAAGCCCCCGGGUUUGGUGUUGGGGAUCGGGCUGCGGUUCUACCGCGUCCCGGCCCCGAAAUCUAGUGGCGGUCUCGCUGCAGCCUCCAUUGCGUAGUAGCUAACACCUCGCAACUGGAACGCGGCGCGGCCAAGCCGUUAAACCCCCAACUUCUGAAUGUUGACCUCGGAUCAGGUAGGAAUACCCGCUGAACUUAAGC